GGCGGCGUGCCUAAUACAUGCAAGUCGAACGCUUUGUGGUUCAACUGAUUUGAAGAGCUUGCUCAGAUAUGACGAUGGACAUUGCAAAGAGUGGCGAACGGGUGAGUAACACGUGGGAAACCUACCUCUUAGCAGGGGAUAACAUUUGGAAACAGAUGCUAAUACCGUAUAACAAUGACAACCGCAUGGUUGUUAUUUAAAAGAUGGUUCUGCUAUCACUAAGAGAUGGUCCCGCGGUGCAUUAGCUAGUUGGUAAGGUAAUGGCUUACCAAGGCGAUGAUGCAUAGCCGAGUUGAGAGACUGAUCGGCCACAAUGGGACUGAGACACGGCCCAUACUCCUACGGGAGGCAGCAGUAGGGAAUCUUCCACAAUGGGCGAAAGCCUGAUGGAGCAACGCCGCGUGUGUGAUGAAGGGUUUCGGCUCGUAAAACACUGUUGUAAGAGAAGAAUGACAUUGAGAGUAACUGUUCAAUGUGUGACGGUAUCUUACCAGAAAGGAACGGCUAAAUACGUGCCAGCAGCCGCGGUAAUACGUAUGUUCCAAGCGUUAUCCGGAUUUAUUGGGCGUAAAGCGAGCGCAGACGGUUAUUUAAGUCUGAAGUGAAAGCCCUCAGCUCAACUGAGGAAUUGCUUUGGAAACUGGAUGACUUGAGUGCA
rnacentral:rRNA from 1 species